rnacentral:pre_miRNA from 1 species
AACCUACUCCCUCCGUUCGGAAUUACUUGUCGCAGAAAUGGAUGUAUCUAGGCUUGUUUUAGUUCUAGAUACAUCCAUUUUCGAGACAAGUAAUUUCAAACGGAGGGAGUACCUC